GAUGAAGAACGCAGCGAAAUGCGAUACUUGGUGUGAAUUGCAGAAUCCCGUGAACCAUCGAGUCUUUGAACGCAAGUUGCGCCCGAAGCCAUCAGGUUGAGGGCACGUCUGCCUGGGCGUCACAUAUCGUUGCCCAAUGCCUAUUGCAGUGCAAUAGGAAUUUCUAGGGCGAAUGAUGGCUUCCCGUGACCGUUGUUGCCUCGCGGUUGGUUGAAAAUCGAGUCCUUGGUAGGGUGUGCCAUGGUAGAUGGUGGUCGAGUUAGAACGAUACCGAUCAUGUGCAUGCUCCCCAAAAUAUGGCCUCUAUGACCCACACGCGUCUUUUGACGCUCAUGACGAGACCUCAGGUCAGGCGGGGCUACCCGCUGAAUUUAAGCAUAUCAAUAAGCGGAGGA
rnacentral:misc_RNA from 1 species